rnacentral:rRNA from 1 species
CUGCUGAAUUUAAGCAUAUCAAUAAGCGGAGGAAGAGAAACUAACCAGGAUUCCCCCAGUAACGGCGAGCGAAGUGGGAAGAGCUCGAGCCUGAAAUCCCCGGUGCCCGCGUGCCGGAGAAUUGUGGCCGGGAGAGGCAGCCGUGCCCGGACUGGCGCUGUCGAAGUUGACCUGGAAAGGCACGUCAGAGAGGGUGAGAGCCCCGUGCGNGACACCGCCGGGUCGGGUGGCUACUGCCUUCGGAGAGUCGGGUUGUUUGGGAAUGCAGCCCAAAGUGGGUGGUAAACUCCAUCUAAAGCUGAAUACUGGCACGAGACCGAUAGCGAACAAGUACCGUGAGGGAAAGGUGAAAAGUACUUUGAAAAGAGAGUCAAAAAGACCGCGAAACCGUUAGGAGGGAAACGAAUGCGGCUGAAGUGGUUCCCCGUCAGGCUCAGGAGACGUCGUGCCGGUCCGUCGGACUGCGGUUGCUCGCCGUGGAUCGUCCGGCCGUCCGACGACUCUGCACUUCUGCGGGGAGCCGGCCAACGGCAGUUGUUCCCGGCCCAGGAGGGCGCCGUGGGUAGGUGGCUCCGCGUUCGCGUGGGGAACUUAUAGCCCGGCGUCUGGACGUUCCGGGGACGACUGAGGAGAGUUGCGAGUCUCGCACGUUGCAGCGCAGGCUUCCCUCGGGAGGCUGGGCCGCUUCCGUCCGGCUGGCGGCCGAGGUGGUCACUGCCCCGUCAGUGGCCGUCGACGGUUCUCGCCUGGUCGGGCGGAUGGUCGGUCGCACCUUGCGCUGUGGUCGUUGGUGCCCGAAUGGCCGCAUCUGACCCGUCUGUUGAAACACGGACCAAGGAGUGCAACAUGCGUGCGAGUCUCCGGGUGGCAAACCCGUGGGCGCAAUGAAAGUGAAGGCGGUGCGUUGGCCUGCUGUGGCGAGAGCCCUCGACUCCUCGGAGGCGUGGGGCGCAUCGUCGACCGUUCCCAGGUCACGCUGUGGCGGGAUACGAGUGAGAGCGUGCCUGUUGCGACCCGAAAGAUGGUGAACUAUGCCUGAAUAGGGUGAAGCCAGAAGAAAUUCUGGUGGAAGCCCGCAGCGAUUCUGACGUGCAAAUCGAUCGUCAAAUUUGGGUAUAGGGGCGAAAGACUAAUCGAACCAUCUAGUAGCUGGUUCCCUCCGAAGUUUCCCUCAGGAUAGCUGGAGCCCGGUGCAGUUUUAUCAGGUAAAGCGAAUGAUUAGAGGUCUUGGGGUUGAAACAGCCUCAACCUAUUCUCAAACUUUAAAUGGGUAAGAGGCCCGGCUUGCUUGGUUGAAGUCGGGCGCAGAAUGCCGGGGCUCCCAGUGGGCCAUUUUUGGUAAGCAGAACUGGCGAUGUGGGAUGAACCAAAUGCCGGGUUAAGGUGCCCGAAUCGACGCUCAUCAGAUCCCAUGAAAGGUGUUGGUUGAUACUGACAGCAGGACGGUGGCCAUGGAAGUCGGAAUCCGC